rnacentral:rRNA from 1 species
UACGUAGGGUACUAGCGUUGUCCGGAAUCAUUGGGCGUAAAGGGUACGUAGGCGGAUAAGCAAGUUAGAAGUGAAAUCCUAUAGCUCAACUAUAGUAAGCUUUUAAAACUGCUCAUCUUGAGGUAUGGAAGGGAAAGUGGAAUUCCUAGUGUAGCGGUGAAAUGCGCAGAUAUUAGGAGGAAUACCAGUGGCGAAGGCGACUUUCUGGCCAUUAUCUGACGCUGAGGUACGAAAGCGUGGGGAGCGAACAGG